rnacentral:tRNA from 1 species
GCCUGGGUGGCUCAGUCAGUUGAGCAUCUGACUUCGGCUCAGGUCAUGAUCUUGCAGUUUGGGAGUUCGAGCCCCACAUCGGGCU